rnacentral:rRNA from 1 species
CACUUUCGUUAAUUGAUUUUGAGAUGCUUGCAUCGAAGAUGAUUUUAACUAUAAAGUGAGUGGCGAACGGGUGAGUAACACGUGGGUAACCUGCCCAGAAGUGGGGGAUAACACCUGGAAACAGAUGCUAAUACCGCAUAACAAAAUUAACCGCAUGGUUGAUUUUAAAAAGAUGGCUUCGGCUAUCACUUCUGGAUGGACCCGCGGCGUAUUAGCUAGUUGGUGAGAUAAAGGCUCACCAAGGCAGUGAUACGUAGCCGACCUGAGAGGGUAAUCGGCCACAUUGGGACUGAGACACGGCCCAGACUCCUACGGGAGGCAGCAGUAGGGAAUCUUCCACAAUGGACGCAAGUCUGAUGGAGCAACGCCGCGUGAGUGAUGAAGGCUUUCGGGUCGUAAAACUCUGUUGUUGGAGAAGAACGUGUGUGAGAGUAACUGCUCAUGCAGUGACGGUAUCCAACCAGAAAGCCACGGCUAACUACGUGCCAGCAGCCGCGGUAAUACGUAGGUGGCAAGCGUUAUCCGGAUUUAUUGGGCGUAAAGCGAGCGCAGGCGGUCUUUUAAGUCUAAUGUGAAAGCCUUCGGCUUAACCGAAGAAGUGCAUUGGAAACUGGGAGACUUGAGUGCAGAAGAGGAGAGUGGAACUCCAUGUGUAGCGGUGAAAUGCGUAGAUAUAUGGAAGAACACCAGUGGCGAAGGCGGCUCUCUGGUCUGCAACUGACGCUGAGGCUCGAAAGCAUGGGUAGCGAACAGGAUUAGAUACCCUGGUAGUCCAUGCCGUAAACGAUGAAUGCUAAGUGUUGGAGGGUUUCCGCCCUUCAGUGCUGCAGCUAACGCAUUAAGCAUUCCGCCUGGGGAGUACGACCGCAAGGUUGAAACUCAAAAGAAUUGACGGGGGCCCGCACAAGCGGUGGAGCAUGUGGUUUAAUUCGAAGCUACGCGAAGAACCUUACCAGGUCUUGACAUCUUCUGCUAACCUAAGAGAUUAGGCGUUCCCUUCGGGGACGGAAUGACAGGUGGUGCAUGGUUGUCGUCAGCUCGUGUCGGGAGAUGUUGGGUUAAGUCCCGCAACGAGCGCAACCCUUAUUAUUAGUUGCCAGCAUUAAGUUGGGCACUCUAUUGAGACUGCCGGUGACAAACCGGAGGAAGGGGGGGACGACGUC